AUUGAACGCUGGCGGCAUGCCUUACACAUGCAAGUCGAACGGCAGCACGGGUGCUUGCACCUGGUGGCGAGUGGCGAACGGGUGAGUAAUACAUCGGAACAUGUCCUGUAGUGGGGGAUAGCCCGGCGAAAGCCGGAUUAAUACCGCAUACGAUCUACGGAUGAAAGCGGGGGACCUUCGGGCCUCGCGCUAUAGGGUUGGCCGAUGGCUGAUUAGCUAGUUGGUGGGGUAAAGGCCUACCAAGGCGACGAUCAGUAGCUGGUCUGAGAGGACGACCAGCCACACUGGGACUGAGACACGGCCCAGACGCCUACGGGAGGCAGCAGUGGGGAAUUUUGGACAAUGGGCGAAAGCCUGAUCCAGCAAUGCCGCGUGUGUGAAGAAGGCCUUCGGGUUGUAAAGCACUUUUGUCCGGAAAGAAAUCCUUGGCCCUAAUACGGUCGGGGGAUGACGGUACCGGAAGAAUAAGCACCGGCUAACUACGUG
rnacentral:rRNA from 1 species